GCUUUGGUUGAAUGGUUCAUGAGAAAAUGCACGGACACGACUGGAAACACCAUUUUUCAAUCUUUCAAGAGCCAUAACUCCUGAACGGUAGAAGUCAAAAUCGUCAUUAUUUAACUUGACCUCUAUUUUGUCAUCAGUUACAACAUAUUAAAAUUUGGGAAGCUUUGGUAAAACAGUUCAUGCGUAAAUGCACGGACACGACUGAAAA
rnacentral:lncRNA from 1 species